UACAGAGGGUCCGAGCGUUGUCCGGAAUCACUGGGCGUAAAGGGCGCGUAGGCGGCUCUGUAAGUUUGCGGUGAAAGCCCGGGGCUCAACCCCGGGUCGGCCGUGGCAACUGUCGAGCUGGAGCACUGUAGAGGCAGGUGGAAUUUCGGGUGUAGCGGUGGAAUGCGUAGAGAUCCGGAGGAACACCGGUGGCGAAGGCGGCCUGCUGGGCAGUAGCUGACGCUGAGGCGCGAAAGCGUGGGGAGCAAACAGG
rnacentral:rRNA from 1 species